CGUCAAGAUACUCAAUUCAAUUUUGGCUCCUCAGGCUCAAGCACAACCUGGAAAAACGAAGGUGUUAAUGUUCCAUGAGGCAACUGAUGACCAAUGGGGAGCAGGAGCUGGUGAAUGAAUGUUCCCUUCAUCCAUCCUGCAGGUAACAGUUCUGAAGUCCAUCCUUUGCAGAUCCUCAAGUGGUCCAUGUUUGGUGGAGCUCCAGUGGCCCACAGAAGGGAACAACUCAGUAUUUAUUUUAUAUUGACUCUCUCCCCUUCACUGUUUCCCUCUUUUCCAGUCCUGCUCCAUAAGCCUUGGGAUCACUUCCUAAAUAAAUCAUGAUCUUCAAGCCCUAUCUCAGGUUCUGCUUUCCUGGGGAAGUCCCAAAUUAAGACAGUAGUGUUUGACCUGGGUUUUGAAAAUUGAGCAUGAGUUUUUUAAGUGGAGAAAUAGAGAUAGAGAAAGAACAUUCCAGGCAAAGGGAGAAACAUGAGCAAAGGUCAGUGGGCAUGAACGGUACAGAAUGUGUUUAGGGAUUAGCAGUAAUAUACUGUGGCUGAAGCAUGGGGUAUACAGAGAGUCUGAGGAGGAGAUUACUGGUGGGAAGUUUUGUUGGUUGAGAAACACCUAUCAGAUAUACUGAGCUAAGAAUACUGGAAAAAUGUUCACCCAAAAUUAUGUUUGUUGUUUGCUUUCCUCUCGAGCUUCUACAUUGUUCUUCAUCUCUGGGAAAUCAGUGACCCAUGGACUGGACAAUAACUUUGAGCCAUGCAGUCAAAAUAAAAUGGAAUAUUUAAGUGAAAGAUCAGGUUCUGGAAAAUAAAACUGCUCGUAGCUGCAUAUUAUCUACCGAACUUAGGUGGAUUCUCAGAAAGAAAAAGGUGAUGUUCACUGGCAUGAACAGUGAAUGGUGGAGUGGAACGUGAACAGGCUGGAGCUCUGGCUGUGCCAUUUAUUAGCCAUGUGCCUUUAGAAGGUCCUCAUCUUCUCCAGCCUCAGUUUCACCAUCUGUAAUGGUAGGUAAGAACCUCUACUUCAGAAGGCUGUUGGAAAGACGAAAUGGUAUGAGACAAAAUGAAAUAAUGACAUCCUAAGUGGAAAGGGCUCGCCUGGGGUCUGGUUAACAAGUAUCACUGCCUCAGGUAACAGUCUUUCUCAGCAGUGCUGCAUACAAACCUCCUCUGGCUUUGACCUUAACAGCCAUUGUAGGUCAGUGUUCAUAGCAGCCCCCACUCAAGUGAGGGUCCAGCUCUGCAAUGAGUUGUGCCUAAGAAGGUCACAGGGGACCAGCCCCUGCUGUGUAGCGCAGGGAGGAGGGCUCUGUCAUUUCUGGCCAUCAUGGCCCUUUGCAGUCAGCCUCAGCCUGAGAUAAAUAUCACACUCUUGCAUCUCACUUUAUAUCUGAGAUCAUCUGGCCCUGCCCACAUCCUCCUCUGCUAAAUGAGUAGAACAGACGGACUCUAAAGCUGCAGAAUGAUUUUAAAAAUAAAUAAAACCAAAUAACAACUUGAGUCUAAUGAUUUCCCUUCAGGUUGUGCAAGCAGGAAAGUUUAAAAUCACAUAAGAAUGACUUGAGGGAAAAGAACACCCCUUUCUGCUCCCGGUAAACACAAUCAGCUUUGCUGGUCUGGGUUUUUUAAUGAUCUGCAUUUACAGGAGUAUCCAUGACCCAGAGAGAGUAUCAGUGUCAAGAAUCUGCCAGUGAGAAAGUGAUUUGAAGCAGCUCUGGAGUUCAGAUGGCCACGGGUGCAAGUGCCUGCUCUGGUGUGCUUUGCCUCUGGAAAGAUGCCAAGUCUUUGAGAAUCUUUGCUGCAUCAGCCAUGCUACAUCCUGAGGACUUGGAGGUGAGGAAAUCCUGUGUGCACUUGUUUCCUUCCCUUCAAAUGAUAUAUCCCAGAAAAAUGGCAAGCUCUCUGCUUACUAACUCUUUUCUUUUUCUUUAGUUCCCCCUUAGCUUUCUCUCUCCUUUCUUCCGUCUUUCUCUUGCCUCCUUUCAUUUUUGGUAAAAUCCAAAGCGAAAUGUCAACUCAGAGGACAUAGCUGUUUGUCUUCACCACCUACAAACUGUAUUUCCUGGAUCAAGCCGCUUAACUCCAUUGAACUGUUUUUAGCAUCCUGAAAAUGGGGAAUCACACUUUCCACUUAUCCAAGCAUUUGCUCAUUCGUUUAUUAAUAAUGUAACACCCUUGAAUGCCAGGCCCUGAACUGAAGAUAUGGUCCUGACCCACUGGGUAGUCACAGGAGAGUGGAGAAUAAUGCUUCAUUUGCUAUGUUGCUUCAAGAAUUACAUAAAAUAAGGCAGUUAAAAAUAUUUUGUGAACCAAAUAGUGCAUUAUGAAAAGAUAUUAACACUUCUUACUUUCUUAUAGCAAUUUCUAAAUGAUUUAAUUUCUGCCAUCAAAAUAUCCCCCUUGUGUUGAUCUAAACCAUCAGAUUGCAAGGUAAAGCCCUGAUGUAACUGAUGAGAUGAAGAACACUGUAUGGCCAUUAUUUUAGGUACGAUAAACAUUUGACUUCUCUUACAGAGACCUAAGGAAAAUGACUUAAAUAGGGUAGAAAUGUCUUUCUCAUGUAACAAGCCAUGCAUUAGCAGACCAGGGCUAGUGUGACAGUUCCUCCAUGGGUCACUGUGUGGUUCAUUAAGGUGUUGUCCUCCUUGGCAUGACCCACGAUGGCUGCCAGUGUAACAGCUGAAUGUCAACCAGCAAGACAGAGGUGAGGGGUGGGGAGGAGGGCAUGCCUCUUCCCUCUGAGAAAUUGCCCACCUACUUCUGUUUAUGUCCCAUGAGCCAAAAUUUAGAAUUAGGUGUCUCCACCUAGCUUCAGGGAGGCUUGGGAACUGAAGUCUUUAUCCUGGGCAUUCUAGCAUACCCUACAUCCAAUCUGUCAAAGUUGCAUUUAGAAUCCAGCCCCUUCUCACCACCUUUACUUCUUUCAUGGCGGUCCAAGCCACUUUCACUGGAUGACGGCAGUAGCCACCUAACUGGCUUCUCUGCUUCUUCUCUUGCCCUCCACUGAAAUCUUUGCUCAGCGCACGUUGAAUAAUGACUCUUUUAGGAUGUAAGCCAGAUUUUUCAACUCCUCUGCUCAAACCCCUGCAAUGGCUUGCUAGGCCCUGUGGGAUUAGGCCUUUGCUACCUGUCCCUUCCUUCCAUCCUCCCUCCUCCCUUGCUUACUCCACUCCAGCCACAUCUGCUCCCUUCCUGGCCUCAGGAAGGCAGACAUGCUGUUGGGUAGGGAUUUUCAUCGGUCGUUCCUUCAGCCUAAAAAUUGUCCAUUUCAGAUAUUCACAGGGCUCAUUCCCUCGCCUCCUUCAAAUCUUUCCUCAAAUGUCACCUUCUUAUAGAGGUCUAUCAUGACUUCUCUACUUAAAAUGGCAAGACCUGCUUCCCAACUUUUGGCACUCCUAAUCUGCCUUAUCUUAUUCUUUUUUUUUUUUUUUUUUUUUUCACAGCAGGGACAUUUUCUAAUAUAGGUUUAUACUUUACUUAUUUACUAUCUUUAGUGUGUGUGUGUGUGUGUGCCUCUUCCCUUGCUAGAAUGACAGCUCCCUGAAGGCAAGGAUUUUUUUUUCUUCCCUGAUGUAUCCCCAGUACCUAAAAGAGUGCCUGGUGUAUAAUAGAUAAUAAAUAUUUCUUGAAUAUAAGCUUGCAUGAAGAGAUGGAGCCGAAUCCAGUUCUGAUGACAUCAUUUGAGCUCUGGUUCCAUGUGCCUAAAGCAAGAAUUCUACACUUUUCAGUUCCAUGGGUCAAUAAAUUUUCUUGUGUUUAUUUAUUUAAUUGGAAGACUAUUAUUUAACUAAAUCAAUUAGA
rnacentral:lncRNA from 10 species